rnacentral:rRNA from 1 species
AACGAACGCUGGCGGCAUGCCUAACACAUGCAAGUCGAACGAGACCUUCGGGUCUAGUGGCGCACGGGUGCGUAACGCGUGGGAACCUGCCCUUAGGUUCGGAAUAACUCCCCGAAAGGGGUGCUAAUACCGGAUAAUGUCUUCGGACCAAAGAUUUAUCGCCUUUGGAUGGGCCCGCGUUGGAUUAGCUAGUUGGUAGGGUAAAAGCCUACCAAGGCGACGAUCCAUAGCUGGUCUGAGAGGAUGAUCAGCCACACUGGGACUGAGACACGGCCCAGACCCCUACGGGGGGCAGGAGGGGGGAAUUUUGGACAAGGGGCGAAAGCCUGAUCCAGCAAUGCCGGGGGAGUGAUGAAGGCCUUAGGGUUGUAAAGCUCUUUUACCCGGGAUGAUAAUGACAGUACCGGGAAAAUAAGCCCCGGCUAACUCCGU